GGACGCCAGUCUGCGUGGAGCCGACCUUGAAAUACCACCCUUUAAUGUUUGAUGUUCUAACGUGGACCCGUGAUCCGGGUUGCGGACAGUGUCUGGUGGGUAGUUUGACUGGGGCGGUCUCCUCCUAAAGAGUAACGGAGGAGCACGAAGGUUGGCUAAUCCUGGUCGGACAUCAGGAGGUUAGUGCAAUGGCAUAAGCCAGCUUGACUGCGAGCGUGACGGCGCGAGCAGGUGCGAAAGCAGGUCAUAGUGAUCCGGUGGUUCUGAAUGGAAGGGCCAUCGCUCAACGGAUAAAAGGUACUCCGGGGAUAACAGGCUGAUACCGCCCAAGAGUUCAUAUCGACGGCGGUGUUUGGCACCUCGAUGUCGGCUCAUCACAUCCUGGGGCUGAAGUAGGUCCCAAGGGUAUGGCUGUUCGCCAUUUAAAGUGGUACGCGAGCUGGGUUUAGAACGUCGUGAGACAGUUCGGUCCCUAUCUGCCGUGGGCGCUGGAGAACUGAGGGGGGCUGCUCCUAGUACGAGAGGACCGGAGUGGACGCAUCACUGGUGUUCGGGUUGUCAUGCCAAUGGCACUGCCCGGUAGCUAAAUGCGGAAGAGAUAAGUGCUGAAAGCAUCUAAGCACGAAACUUGCCCCGAG
rnacentral:rRNA from 1 species